rnacentral:rRNA from 1 species
GCAUAUCAAUAAGCGGAGGAAAAGAAACCAACAGGGAUUGCCUCAGUAACGGCGAGUGAAGCGGCAACAGCUCAAAUUUGAAAUCUGGCUCUUUCAGGGUCCGAGUUGUAAUUUGUAGAAGAUGCUUCGGGCGUGGCUCCGGUCUAAGUUCCUUGGAACAGGACGUCAUAGAGGGUGAGAAUCCCGUAUGUGACUGGGUGCCUAUGCUCAUGUGAAGCUCUUUCGACGAGUCGAGUUGUUUGGGAAUGCAGCUCUAAAUGGGUGGUAAAUUUCAUCUAAAGCUAAAUACUGGCCAGAGACCGAUAGCGCACAAGUAGAGUGAUCGAAAGAUGAAAAGCACUUUGGAAAGAGAGUUAAACAGUACGUGAAAUUGUUGAAAGGGAAGCGCUUGCAACCAGACUUGCAUGCAGCUGAUCAUCCGGUGUUCUCACCGGUGCACUCAGCUGUGUUCAGGCCAGCAUCGGUUUCGGUGGUUGGAUAAAGGCCUUGGGAAUGUAGCUUCCUUCGGGGAGUGUUAUAGCCCGCGGUGCAAUGCAGCCUACUGGGACCGAGGACCGCGCUUCGGCUAGGAUGCUGGCGUAAUGGUUGUAAGCGACCCGUCUUGAAACACGGACCAAGGAGUCUAACAUCUAUGCGAGUGUUUGGGUGUCAAACCCAUACGCGUAAUGAAAGUGAACGGAGGUGAGAACUCUUAAGAGUGCAUCAUCGACCGAUCCUGAUGUCUUCGGAUGGAUUUGAGUAAGAGCAUAGCUGUUGGGACCCGAAAGAUGGUGAACUAUACUUGAAUAGGGUGAAGCCAGAGGAAACUCUGGUGGAGGCUCGCAGCGGUUCUGACGUGCAAAUCGAUCGUCAAAUUUGGGUAUAGGGGCGAAAGACUAAUCGAACCAUCUAGUAGCUGGUUCCUGCC